rnacentral:rRNA from 1 species
GACGAACGCUGGCGGCGUGCCUAAUACAUGCAAGUCGAGCGGCGCGGCGGACGGGUGAGUAAUGCCUAGGAAUCUGCCUAGUAGUGGGGGAUAAAGUCCGGAAACGGGCGCUAAUACCGCAUACUAUCCAGUGAGCCUAGGUGGGAUUAGCUAGUUGGUGGGGUAAAGGCUUACCAAGGCGACGAUCCAUAACUGGUCUGAGAGGAUGAUCAGUCACACUGGAACUGAGACACGGUCCAGACUCCUACGGGAGGCAGCAGUGGGGAAUAUUGGGCAAUGGGCGAAAGUCUGAUCCAGCCAUGUCGCGUGAGUGAAGAAGGUCUUCGGAUUGUAAAGCACUUUAAGUUGGGAGGCGUUACCAACAGAGUAAGCACCGGCUAACUUCGUGCCAGCAGCCGCGGUAAUUC